rnacentral:rRNA from 1 species
AUAGAGUUUUUUUUUCUCUGCUCAGGAUGAACGCUGGCGGCGUGCCUAAUACAUGCAAGUCGAACGCGCAGCGAAAGGUGCUUGCACCUUUCAAGCGAGUGGCGAACGGGUGAGUAACACGUGGAUAACCUGCCUCAAGGCUGGGGAUAACAUUUGGAAACAGAUGCUAAUACCGAAUAAAACUUAGUAUCGCAUGAUACAAAGUUAAAAGGCGCUACGGCGUCACCUAGAGAUGGAUCCGCGGUGCAUUAGUUAGUUGGUGGGGUAAAGGCUUACCAAGACAAUGAUGCAUAGCCGAGUUGAGAGACUGAUCGGCCACAUUGGGACUGAGACACGGCCCAAACUCCUACGGGAGGCUGCAGUAGGGAAUCUUCCACAAUGGGCGCAAGCCUGAUGGAGCAACGCCGCGUGUGUGAUGAAGGCUUUCGGGUCGUAAAGCACUGUUGUAUGGGAAGAAAUGCUAAAAUAGGGAAUGAUUUUAGUUUGACGGUACCAUACCAGAAAGGGACGGCUAAAUACGUGCCAGCAGCCGCGGUAAUACGUAUGUCCCGAGCGUUAUCCGGAUUUAUUGGGCGUAAAGCGAGCGCAGACGGUUGAUUAAGUCUGAUGUGAAAGCCCGGAGCUCAACUCCGGAAUGGCAUUGGAAACUGGUUAACUUGAGUGUUGUAGAGGUAAGUGGAACUCCAUGUGUAGCGGUGGAAUGCGUAGAUAUAUGGAAGAACACCAGUGGCGAAGGCGGCUUACUGGACAACAACUGACGUUGAGGCUCGAAAGUGUGGGUAGCAAACAGGAUUAGAUACCCUGGUAGUCCACACCGUAAACGAUGAAUACUAGGUGUUAGGAGGUUUCCGCCUCUUAGUGCCGAAGCUAACGCAUUAAGUAU